rnacentral:rRNA from 1 species
UACAGAGGGGGCAAGCGUUUAUUCGGAAUUAUUGGGCGUAAAGGGCGCGUAGGCGGCUUGGCAAGUGGAAGGUGAAAUCCCUCGGCUUAACCGAGGAACUGCCCUCCAAACUGCUUCGCUUGAGACCGGGAGAGGUGAGUGGAAUUCCCAGUGUAGCGGUGAAAAUGCGUAGAUAUUGGGAGGAACACCAGUGGCGAAGGCGGCUCACUGGACCGGUACUGACGCUGAUGCGCGAAAACGUGGGGAGCAAACGGGG